CCUACGGGUGGCAGCAGUCGAGAAUCUUUCACAAUGGUGGAAACCCUGAUGGUGCGACGCCGCGUGAGGGAAUGAAGUUCUUCGGAUUGUAAACCCCUGUCAUGUGGGAGCAAAUUCAAAAGAUAGUACCACAAGAGGAAUAGACGGCUAACUCUGUUCCAGCAACCGCGGUCAUACAGAGGUCUCAAGCGUUGUUCAGAAUCACUGGGCGUAAAGCGUGCGUAGGCUGUUUCGUAAGUCGUGUGUGAAAGGCGCGGGCUCAACCCGCGGGCGGCACAUGAUACUGCGAGACUAGAGUAAUGGAGGAGUAAGCGGAAUUCGCGGUGUAGCAGUGAAAUGCGUAGAUAUCGAGAGGAACACUAGUGGCGAAGGCGGCUUCCUGGACAGUAACUGACGCUGAGGCACGAAGGCCAGGGGAGCGAAAGGGAUUAGAUACCCUUGUAGUC
rnacentral:rRNA from 1 species